rnacentral:rRNA from 1 species
UACGAAGGGGGCUAGCGUUAUUCGGAAUUAUUGGGCGUAAAGGGUGCGUAGGCGGUGCGGACAGUCAGAUGUGAAAUCCCUCGGCUCAACCGAGGAACUGCGUUUGAAACUACCGUGCUCGAGUAAGACAGAGGUAAGCGGAACUUCGGGUGGAGCGGUGAAAUGCGUUGAUAUCCGAAGGAACACCGGUGGCGAAAGCGGCUUACUGGGUCUUUACUGACGCUGAUGCACGAAAGCUAGGGGAGCAAACGGG